CUAAUAAUAGAUUAAAUGCAGUGUUGAGGCUGUUGUUUUCAGCAUUUACAUGGAUGUAAAAAUCACAUACUAUAACCAUUUUAUCUGAAGUGAGCACUAAAUUAGAUCAAAAUUCCGAGAAUUUAAAUGGAAACACCAAGUAAGGUUCAGGUUUAAAUUUACAUAAUUUCCUUAGGGAUCUUGUUCCUUAGGGAACGACAAAUAAUUAAAAACAAUUGUAGUUUUCCAAUUAGGGUGUACAAAGGUGAGCAAGGCUUUCAAAUGAUUCAAAACUCUACCGGGUUCUUUGGUUGAUUAAUAAGUGGAGUAACAGAUUGCUCCAACAAAGUUAAAAGAAAGAAAAGAAACUAAAGUAGACCAACAACAAUGAAAUGAAUGUGAAAGGAUCUUGUGUGUUAUAGUAAGUGGUUAGUCGAGAGACAAAGAAACUGGGUGACACCCAGAACAUAAAAUAAAGCAGGACAACAACCUACACGAGAACAAACCAGGGUGUGGAACAGUGAGGAAGUGAGGAAAGCAAACAAGAGGAUUUUAAACUGUAGCCGCGGUGUUUCAAAAAGUCUUUGAGAAAUUAGGGUUUUUCUGUCUGUUGUGUUUAGAAAGUCAUGUCGUAGAGCAUAUUGUCAAGCUUUCAAGCUCAUGCCCCGCAUCUCCCCAUCUGGCUCCUCUUUGGACAGAUGUAUAAAAGAAACUAGGAGCUGUAACAAGCAGCAGUUUGUCUGUCAGAAAGACGUCUUUCUCCACUUUCAAGCCCUGACAAGAUUGAAUAGGAGAUCUCAGGGCAAACCUUCGAGUCUUACAGCUAUAAAGGAACUUACAAUGGGGAAUAGCAGUUUGGAUGAACCCAAUGCUUCUGCACCCACAGAGUUUCAGAGAGUGUCGAGGGAGUGUGCCUCCCCUGGAUCAAUGAAUAUACUGACAGACUGACUACCUGGGCCACUUAAGUUAAGACAACACGCAGGCAACCAUGUUAGACAGUUGCAUAAAUAACUGCCCAUUUCAAUUAUUGCCAGAAAACUCAGAGGCUGAUUGUAUUUACAGAAACAAAUACCUUCAUUACAAUUAUUUUUUUUUUCUUAUUAUUUUUCAUAUAAAUUACAAUAUUAUAAAAAAAAAAAUCUGACAAAUGCCAUGGCUCCCCCUCAGCCUCCUAAUAAAAGCACCUAUUGCAUGGUAUAUAUUUGAAAAUCCUAGGGAUUUUCCGAAACAUUGACCUCUGACCUUGAUGUCAAGGUUACUGGGAUUGCAACUUGACUGAGAUUUGUAGUAAAUGCACCUAUAGCAUUAAUUUGAAAGUCCUACAUCCCCUCGUUCUUGAGUUAUCACGUUCAUAAGAUUUCAAAAAAACUUGACCUCAAGGUCACUGGGAUUCAAACUCGCCUGAGAUUUUUAGUAGUUUCAUCUAUGGUAUUGGUUUCAAAAUCCUGUGUUGUCUCUUUCAAGAGUUACUGCAUUCACAGACUUGGUGUUCAUGCUGCCCCCACAGUGAUGAUAAUGCCCCAUCAAGCCUUUACAGCUUAGCCUUAAAAAAAUAAAAAUAAAAAUGCUGAAACUCAAUUUAUGACCUUAAACUUCCUUGUUAAAGUAUUUAAUAGAGAUCUCAAUAUCUCUGAUAUUUUGUUUGCAAAGCAGUCUUUAAGAAUUUAUUUUGAGUCAUGUUCAGCUAAUUUAUCUUUUGUAUAACCAAGCAAUGCAAAAUUCUAGUUUGGAGAGAUGCAACAAAAAGAGGAAAAAACUUAUUUGAAGAAAUUACACCACCAAAAAGAUAUUUGAACAUAACAGCACAACAUCCCUCCAAUCUCAGAUGCAGCCAUCUGUUUUCUAAUUAUGUCUUUUCUGAUAAGGUGCAGAGAGUUAACUGGGUCUAUUGAAAUGCAUCCAUGCCUCAUAGCUAAUAACUCUGCACUCUGAUCUUCAAGGUCCUUCAUUAAAGGUUCUCAUUAUCCUCGUGAGAUAAUAGAGAGAGAAAGUAAACUUUCAGCUAUUAAAAGACUGCAAAAAUAGUUUGUCUUUUUACACAAGAGAGCGUGUAUGAGUUGCCAGUUAGUUACAGAUAUAAGACAUAAAGCAAUAUGUGUUAAUAGUAUGAAAAAGAAUGAGGAGAAAAAAAGAUGUUUAACAAAGAUAAUGCUAUAAAUAGCUUGAUAUUCUUGGGGAUUGGGGAUGCAGCCUUCCUAAUGUACGGCCCCAAACUCUGAAACAAGAAACUUUUAAUCUGGCAUUUAAACAGUCCUUACAAUUAAUACAACUAAAGCAACUGGGUUCAGCCACAUUUAAAAAUCUGGUAGAUGCAGAGCUUAUCCAUAUAUUUUUCAUCAAUAUCAUAUUGACCUUCGGCUUCUGUUACUUCCAAGAUUGUUUUCAUAUUUCUCUGUUUUUGUUUGACAUGAUUUUAUGUUUUAUUAUGUAUUAUUUACAUGUCUGUGUGCCCGUUUCUGUAGGUAUGUAUUUCUGAUGGGUUUUAUGUUUGUAUAAAUUUCUGCUUUAAUAAGUGAUUUUUUUAUGCCUGUAAAGUGCUUUGAACCCAAAUAAAAGUCCAUUUAGCUGAAUUAAA
ensembl:lncRNA